GAUGAACGCUGGCGGCGUGCCUAAUACAUGCAAGUCGAGCGAACGGACGAGAAGCUUGCUUCUCUGAUGUUAGCGGCGGACGGGUGAGUAACACGUGGAUAACCUACCUAUAAGACUGGGAUAACUUCGGGAAACCGUAGCUAAUACCGGAUAAUAUUUUGAACCGCAUGGUUCAAAAGUGAAAGACGGUCUUGCUGUCACUUAUAGAUGGAUCCGCGCUGCAUUAGCUAGUUGGUAAGGUAACGGCUUACCAAGGCAACGAUGCAUAGCCGACCUGAGAGGGGGACCGGCCACACUGGAACUGAGACACGGGCCAGACUCCUACGGGAGGCAGCAGUAGGGAAUCUUCCGCAAUGGGCGAAAGCCUGACGGAGCAACGCCGCGUGAGUGAUGAAGGUCUUCGGAUCGGAAAACUCUGUUAUUAGGGAAGAACAUAUGUGUAAGUAAGUGUGCACAUCUUGACGGUACCUAAUCAGAAAGCAACGGCUAACUACGUG
rnacentral:rRNA from 1 species